CCAUUCCCAUUUGCUGUGGGGGAGGCCUUGGGAGGACUGGAGCUGCCUGGAUUGGGGGUGGUGGCAUGUUUGGAGGUGGUGGCCUGAACUGCAUUGGAGGUGGAGGCAUAACUGGCAGCGACAUUGUUUGACCUGGCUGCGGGGGCUGACCCUGCCAAGCUGGUUGUCCUCCAGCUACCUGCAUUGGUGGGAAAGCUGCAUUUGGUGGGGGU
rnacentral:misc_RNA from 1 species